rnacentral:rRNA from 1 species
GACGAAGGGUGGCGGGCGUAUUUCGUUUGAUUGGGUGUAAAGGGUACGUAGGCAGUUGUUGCAAACAGUUCCAAAAGGGCACAGCCGUUCCUGUGCGUCGCACUGUCAAAGACUCGCUAACGCAGUCUUCAAUACAACUUGUGUUAAGGAGAGGUUGGGUCAAAUUCUCAUUUAGGGGUAGAAUCCAGAAACAUGAGGAUGAAUGGUUAUUGGCGAAGGCUCCCUUCCAGCCCUAACAGACGCUGAGGUACGUAGGCGGCGGGUAGCAAACAGG